GACGAACGCUGGCGGCGUGCCUAAUACAUGCAAGUCGAACGCAGUGGGGACGGGUGAGUAACACGUGGGUAACCUCCCAUCAGAGGGGAUAACACUUGGAAACAGGUGCUAAACCUAUACUGAUGGAUGGCCCCGCGGUGCUUUAGCUAGUUGGUGAGGUAACGGGUCGCCAAGGCCACGAUGCAUAGCGGACCUGGUAGGGGGAUCGGCAACACUGGGACUGAGACACGGCCCAGGCUCCUACGUGAGGCAGCAGUAGGGAAUCUUCGGCAAUGGUCGAGAGUCUGAACGAGCAACACCGCGUGAGUGAAGAAGGUUUUCGGAUCGUAAAACUCUGUUGUUAGAGAAGCGGUAUCUAACCAGAAAGCCAAGGCUAACUACGUGCCAGCAGCCGCGGUAAUUC
rnacentral:rRNA from 1 species